CCUACGGGUGGCAGCAGUCGAGAAUCAUUCACAAUGGGGGAAACCCUGAUGGUGCGACGCCGCGUGGGGGAAUGAAGUUCUUCGGAUUGUAAACCCCUGUCAUGUGGGAGCAAAUUAAAAAGAUAGUACCACAAUAGGAAGAGACGGCUAACUCUGUGCCAGCAGCCGCGGUAAUACAGAGGUCUCAAGCGUUGUUCGGAAUCACUGGGCGUAAAGCGUGCGUAGGCUGUUUCGUAAGUCGUGUGUGAAAGGCGCGGGCUCAACCCGCGGACGGCACAUGAUACUGCGAGACUAGAGUAAGGGAGGGGGAACCGGAAUUCUCGGUGUAGCAGUGAAAUGCGUAGAUAUCGAGAGGAACACUCGUGGCGAAGGCGGGUUCCUGGACAUUAACUGACGCUGAGGCACGAAGGCCAGGGGAGCGAAAGGGAUUAGAUACCCGAGUAGUC
rnacentral:rRNA from 1 species